rnacentral:rRNA from 1 species
CACGGUAAACGAUGGAUGCCCGCUGUUUGCGAUAUACUGUGAGCGGCCAAGAGAAAUCGUUAAGCAUCCCACCUGGGGAGUACGCCGGCAACGGUGAAACUCAAAGGAAUUGACGGGGGCCCGCACAAGCGGAGGAACAUGUGGUUUAAUUCGAUGAUACGCGAGGAACCUUACCCGGGCUUGAACUGCCAGCGAACGAUACAGAGAUGUUGAGGCCCUUCGGGGCGCUGGUGGAGGUGCUGCAUGGUUGUCGUCAGCUCGUGCCGUGAGGUGUCGGCUUAAGUGCCAUAACGAGCGCAACCCUUUUCGUCAGUUGCCAUCGGGUGAAGCUGGGCACUCUGGCGAUACUGCCACCGUAAGGUGUGAGGAAGGUGGGGAUGACGUCAAAUCAGCACGGCCCUUACGUCCGGGGCUACACACGUGUUACAAUGGGGAGUACAGAGAGUCGGUGCAUGGCAAUGUGCAUCCAAUCAUGAAAGCUCUCCUCAGUUCGGAUUGGGGUCUGCAACCCGACC